rnacentral:rRNA from 1 species
UACAGGGGGUGCAAACGUUGCUCGGAAUUAUUGGGCGUAAAGCGCGCGUAGGCGGCUACUUAAGUCGGAUGUGAAAGCCCUUGGCUCAACUGAGGAAGUGCACCCGAAACUGAGUGGCUUGAGUACCAAAGAGGGUCGCGGAAUUCCCGGUGUAGAGGUGAAAUUCGUAGAUAUCGGGAGGAACACCGGUGGCGAAGGCGGCGACCUAGGUGGAUACUGACGCUGAGGCGCGAAAGCGUGGGGAGCAAACAGG